GAUGAACGCUAGCGGCAGGCUUAAUACAUGCAAGUCGAGGGGCAGCACGGUAGCAAUACUGGUGGCGACCGGCAAACGGGUGCGGAACACGUACAGAACCUUCCCCAGAGUGGGGGAUAGCCCAGGGAAACUUGGAUUAAUACCCCGUAACAUAUAUGAGUGGCAUCACUUGUAUAUCAAAGUUCCGGCGCUCUGGGAUGGCUGUGCGGCUGAUUAGGUAGUUGGCGGGGUAACGGCCCACCAAGCCUUCGAUCAGUAACUGGUGUGAGAGCACGACCAGUCACACGGGCACUGAGACACGGGCCCGACUCCUACGGGAGGCAGCAGUAAGGAAUAUUGGCCAAUGGACGCAAGUCUGAACCAGCCAUGCCGCGUGGAGGAUGACGGCCCUCUGGGUUGUAAACUCCUUUUAUCUGGGACGAAAAAAGGGCUUUCUAGCUCGUCUGACGGU
rnacentral:rRNA from 1 species